ensembl:rRNA 5S_rRNA 5S ribosomal RNA
GCUUACGGCCACACCAGCCCGAAUGCGCCCGAUCUCGUCUGAUCUCGGAAGCCAAGCAGUGUCGGGCCUGGUUAGUACCUGGAUGGGAGACCGCCUGGGAAUACCAGGUGCUGUAAGCU